rnacentral:lncRNA from 1 species
CCAAAAGGAAGCAGUGUUUGAUUUUGUAGCUCUCUGAGGGUGAGGCUGGUGAGAUAUAGGAUGACAGGAUUUGAGAGUGGCCAAUGGGCAAUUUGAAUAUUUCAGGAGAAACAAAAAGCAGUAAGGUGCUCCUGCAGCCCUGGCAUAAAUGUGUAACCUACAACCGAUAAGGAAACAUGUUUCCUCUCUCACACCCUUCCUCCCUCAUCCAAUCUUUAGGAUUUGAUGAUCUUUGUUCAAGAACUG